UACGUAGGGUGCAAGCGUUAAUCGGAAUUACUGGGCGUAAAGCGUGCGCAGGCGGUUUUGUAAGCCAGAUGUGAAAUCCCCGGGCUUAACCUGGGAAUGGCAUUUGGGACUGCAAGGCUCGAGUGCGGCAGAGGAGACUGGAAUUCCUGGUGUAGCAGUGAAAUGCGUAGAUAUCAGGAGGAACACCGAUGGCGAAGGCAGAUCUCUGGGCCGUAACUGACGCUGAGGAGCGAAAGCGUGGGGAGCGAACAGG
rnacentral:rRNA from 1 species